CCGGCUCUUUGUCUGCUCGGGGACUUGGAACAAAAGGGGAAACUCUGAUGAACUCUCUCCAUCCUCCUCCUCUCUGACGCCUGGUUAUCUUUCCUCUCACAACUUUGCUGGAGAGACUCUCUCCAGCGCUAGGCACCCAACAAGUUCGGGGGCUUUAGGAACUGGAGUUAGAGAACCAUCUCUUUUAGAAUGGAUAAAAGAGGGGGGAAAAGAAGGUGCCAGAAUGAUGAUGGGCAACAUCUAGGAAGCAAGACAAUGGCUAGAAUACCUUUCUAGCAAGGUACCUUCUCCAGGCUGCAUUGUUUUUGUUGGACAUUUCUGACAAUGGAUAUAGCCAGGCCAAACAAUUACGGAGUGAAAGACGCUAACCUUCGCUUGGGAUUAUCGUUUAAGAAUUGAGUUUUGGAUAUGACAUGACUAUUAUGAAGGAUACUGUUACUGUUGGAAAUACAACUUCUUGAUCACUGGGAAUUCUCUGCCUUAUGGAAGAAGUCCAAGUGUCAAACACUAGAGAGAUAUGCGGUGAUUCAGAGUUGAAAUGGGAAGAAAAUGAUACCUGGAAAGAAAAUAUGGCUUCAGGUAAUGACUAAAUCCCAUUUUACUGGAUGGCCACUGAAGCAUGAUCACAAGACAGUCAGAAUGGUGGAUAAGUGCUCCUCAGGCAUGAAUCAUUGCAGACCAGGAAAAGACAAUGAUUUAGUACUUUGAAGGGCAAGCAUGUAUGUGAUUAAAGAAUAUAAGUGCAGGACUCCAAGAUUUACUUCCUUCCUGCUCUGUCCAGCAGGGAUACCUGAGGCAAAAUCCAUCUACUGAAAGAAACUACUGCAUUGCUCUCUCCAGAAGAAAAUGUAUCUUUGAUAUUAAAAUGUUAUGAAGGAGUACAAAUGAGAGAGGAGAUCUGUCAAAUGGCACUGGCUAUGAUAAAGGAGGAAUGCCACUUUUCCUAGAGAGCAUUUACUUCCAUGAAUGCAAUCUGAAACUGGGUUUCAUUUGCAAGGAUACAAUCUGCCACUUUCAUUUUGUAUCAUCAUCAUCCACCAAAAGGCAAUCCUUUUCCAAGGACAAGAGUAAAAAGAAACAGAAGAAAGGCCUGAAAGGAAUAAAAUGAAUCACAGAACCAUAGUGAAAAUUUACGGAAAAAAAAUUAGUGUCAACAAAGUAAAAGUGGCCUAAUGAAAAGUUAAGAAGCAUUUCUUAGAAGAACUGCAAGGAGUAAGCUGUCACACUGGUAACCAUGUGGAAUGUCUUCCAUCAAGCUAUAUUACCCAUUCCCUUUGAAGUCUGGAGUCCCAUGCCAGCACUUUCAGACAUCAGGGAGCUUUCUUGGAGGUAUCGAGGCCAAGUGUGACUGCCAGGAAGGAGCUGGGAGCAGCCAAAGAGACUGAGCAUGUCAGACUUCUCUCCCAGCCUGCCACACACACUUAAAACCCAAAGGAAAUAAGCAGGGAUCAGUGGGAGGAAGGGAGCCAACCAGCUCUGACCUGCUUUCUUCAUGAAUCCUUGACUUUGAAAUCAAACCUGGUCUUAAUACCCAGCAGGUGUCAUCAGGGUUCUUGGAUCAGUAGCUGAAGGAAAACUGAG